rnacentral:rRNA from 1 species
CCUACGGGAGGCUGCAGUGGGGAAUAUUGCACAAUGGGGGAAACCCUGAUGCAGCGACGCCGCGUGAGUGAAGAAGUAAUUCGUUAUGUAAAGCUCCAUCAGUAGGGAAGAAAAUGACGCUACCUGAGUAAGAUUCUCUGUCUAACUACGUGCCAGCAGCCGCGGUAAUAUGUAGGAGGCCAGCGUUAUCCGGAUUUACUGGGUGUAAAGGGAGCGUAGACGGCAGUGCAAGUCUGUAGUGAAAGGGUGGGGUUCAACCCCCGAACUGCACUGGAAACUGGACGGCUGGAGUGCAGUAGAGGUAGGUGGAAUUCGUGGUGUAGCGGUGAAAUGCGUAGAUAUUAGGAAGAACCCC